rnacentral:rRNA from 1 species
AUUGAACGCUGGCGGCAGGCUUAACACAUGCAAGUCGAGCGGAGAUGAGGUGCUUGCACCUUAUCUUAGCGGCGGACGGGUGAGUAAUGCUUAGGAAUCUGCCUAUUAGUGGGGGACAACAUUCCGAGAGGAAUGCUAAUACCGCAUACGUCCUACGGGAGAAAGCAGGGGAUCUUCGGACCUUGCGCUAAUAGAUGAGCCUAAGUCGGAUUAGCUAGUUGAUGGGGUAAAGGCCUACCAAGGCGACGAUCUGUAGCGGGUCUGAGAGGAUGAUCCGCCACACUGGGACGGAGACACGGCCCAGACUCCUACGGGAGGCAGCAGUGGGGAAUAUUGGACAAUGGGGGGAACCCUGAUCCAGCCAUGCCGCGUGUGUGAAGAAGGCCUUAUGGUUGUAAAGCACUUUAAGCGAGGAGGAGGCUACUGAGACUAAUACUCUUGGAUAGUGGACGUUACUCGCGGAAUAAGCACCGGCUAACUCUGUGCCAGCCGCCGCAGUAA